GCUGGAGUAGCUCAGCCGGUAGAGCACCUCACUCGUAAUGAGGGGGUCGUGGGUUCGAAUCCCAUCUCCAGCU
rnacentral:tRNA from 1 species